GGGGAUAUAGUUUAAUUGGUUAAAACAGAGAUUUUGCAUGUCUUUAUUAUGGAUUCGAGUUCCAUUUUCUCCA
rnacentral:tRNA from 1 species